CAAUAGCGUAUAUUAAAAUUGUUGCAGUUAAAAAGCUCGUAGUUGGAUCUGCGGUUAGGGCUUGCGGUCCACCACGCGGUGGUACUGCUCGUCCCGACCUACAUCGAAUCGAACCGCGUUGCUCUUCGCUGAGUGACCGGGAAGGCUCGAACGUUUACUUUGAAAAAAUUAGAGUGUUCAUAGCAGGCCCAGACGCCUGAAUAAUGUUGCAUGGAAUAAUGGAAUAGGACCUCGGUUCUAUUUUGUUGGUUUUCGGAGCGGAGGUAAUGAUUAAUAGGGACGGCCGGGGAGUCGUAUUACGUGUAGAUGUGAAAGUUCAUGGGGAUCAUCGUAAGACGAACUACAGCGAAAGCAUUUGCCAAGAAUGUUUUCAUUAAUCAAGAACGAAAGUCAGAGGUUCGAAGAUGAUUAGAUACCG
rnacentral:rRNA from 1 species